AUGAGGUCUGGAUGUUUUCUCAAUGUUGGGAUGAACGCCUCACUUCACUACACCAGAUUACACUGCAAGGCUGCUGGUAACUCAAUUGGAAUAUACUUUGGACCUGAGAAGGCCACCAUAAUAAACACAUAUGCUGUGAUGAAAUCUGGUAUGAAAAACCUCGACGAAAGUGGCAAUAAUGGUGCAAUCAGUAGCCAGAAAGCACAAAAGCGCCUUUGGGUAAACACGGAUUCAUCUCAUGUUAGUUCAGAGGAUGGCCCUAUCGACCAUGAUGUUGACCAUUGCAACAAUGAAAGCGGCAAUGAUGAGGAGAACAUUGGUGGUAACAAUAACAAUUGUGGCUUCAAUCCUGAUGGUGUCUCCCGAGAAGGAUCUCACUAG
rnacentral:rRNA from 1 species